rnacentral:rRNA from 1 species
GACGAACGCUGGCGGCGUGCUUAACACAUGCAAGUCGAACGGAAAGGCCCCUUUGGGGGUACUCGAGUGGCGAACGGGUGAGUAACACGUGAGUAACCUGCCCUUGACUUCGGGAUAACUUCAGGAAACUGGGGCUAAUACCGGAUAGGAAUCCUUGCUGCAUGGUGGGGGUUGGAAAGCUUCGGCGGUUUUGGAUGGACUCGCGGCUUAUCAGCUUGUUGGUGGGGUAGUGGCUUACCAAGGCUUUGACGGGUAGCCGGCCUGAGAGGGCGACCGGCCACAUUGGGACUGAGAUACGGCCCAGACUCCUACGGGAGGCAGCAGUGGGGAAUAUUGCACAAUGGGCGGAAGCCUGAUGCAGCAACGCCGCGUGCGGGAUGACGGCCUUCGGGUUGUAAACCGCUUUCAGCAGGGGCGAAGCUUGUGGUGACGGUACCCGCAGAAGAAGCACCGGCUAACUACGUG